rnacentral:rRNA from 1 species
UACGUAGGGUCCGAGCGUUGUCCGGAAUUACUGGGCGUAAAGAGCUCGUAGGUGGUUUGUCGCGUUGUUCGUGAAAACUCACAGCUUAACUGUGGGCGUGCGGGCGAUACGGGCAGACUUGAGUACUGCAGGGGAGACUGGAAUUCCUGGUGUAGCGGUGGAAUGCGCAGAUAUCAGGAGGAACAUCAGUGGCGAAAGCGGCUUCCUGGACCAGAACUGACGAUCAGGCACGAAAGCGUGGGGAGCAAACAGG